UUUUUUUUUUUUUUUUUUUUUUUUUUUUUUUUAAUUUACUACAGUGGUUGACACUCCAGUAUCAAUGCCUUGGUUUUGCCAUAUUAAGAAAUCAUACAUAUGCAAGUAGUGGAAUAAAUUUACACACUUAAUUCUUCACAACAGUUCUGGCAAGCAGUACUUACAUUUUAUCUUUCCUGUAACUAGACUUUGUUUUUAAUACACUAAAUUUCCAUUUACUUCUGAAAUCUCCUCUAAAAGCUGGGUUGAAUGAAAGGCAAAACCAGCCUCUUCUUCAGAAAGUGUAUGAAAGAAGAAUGAGCAGAGAAAAUAUAUAUAAAACAAAAAGAAAGAUAAGGAAUGGAGGACAUGGAGAACAUGAGUGGUGGAACAUGGAUCAGGCCACAUUGCCUAGCAAAGCAUUUGCUUUUGGAGACAGGAACUUCAUAGCUGUGAUCUUUCCAGACUCCAUGUGUAUGUACCUGUGAUACAUCUCAUUACUUCUUGACUGGCAACAUUUUCUUCAGCUAAAUCCAAAAACAUUGACCAGAAAAGCCUCACUCCUCUAGCAGACUGAAUACUGCUCAUUUAUUUGGAAGCUUUCACUUGGGGCUCCUGAGGGUGUGAGCAUUGUGCCCGGUUGAGCUAUUAAAUGACCAGCAUUUCCCAAAAGAACGUGAAAGGUUCCCUUCCAACUCUGAAGAAUAAGAAUAGCACCCACUUCUUCCACAACCUAACACACUGCAGUCUGAGCUCCUUGGCAAUGCAAACCAGUUCCUAGCAUCUUUUCAGGUACAAUUGAGCCAGAUCCUUUACAGACUUAAUUUGCCAUGGUUCUUUUGAUUUCACCAGGAUUGUGCCAUCUGAAGCUGAGACCCAAGAGAUUUAAUAUCCUCUGAGUACCAUAUAUCCUGGAGAAAACAGAUUUAUGUAGAAAAUGGUUUUCACCGGGCAUAACAUACUGUGAAGGGAAAAUGAGAGACAAGAAAACAAACAGUCUGCUUUCCUAAGUUAGAACUUUCUCCAUUCCAGUUAAGGAAUUAAAUAAUAAGACAUUGUCUAUUAUUGCGUUUCUCUAUUAUUGUGUCAGCUUUAAAUAAAAAUCUUGAUUAGUUCACAUAGAUGUAUUUAUGCAUUUUUAUACAUGAGAUAUAAAAAUGCACAUUGAAUUUGAUUUUUUCAAUUAGACACAAUUAGAAUGUAACAAAAAAUAAGUGUGACACUGUCAAAUUUAUAUAAAUUUGCCAUGAUUUCAUAUCUCAUGGGAGAUCAUGAGGUAUUUCCAAAUCUUACUAAGUAAUAAAAACAAAAUAUGAUUUCAUGAACAAGGUGUUAUCUCCAGUGUCACAAUAACUGCACCCAAAAAUCAGGCACACAACUGAGCAUAAAAUAUGUGUUAGUAAUAAAUUUGGAUUUCAAACAAUUAUGUCUCGCACCUAUCUUGUAAUUUCCAUAUUAUUUUUUAUCUGAUAUUAAGGGCCAUAGAUUUAAUGAUAUUUUGAAGAUGUCCAGUAUAAUUUUUAGUUUCCUAAUGCACCCACAUUUGGAUGUAUGAAAUGCAAGAUAAGUUAUGAAGAAAGAGUAAGAAGAAAAUCCAAAUACAUAAUGUGCAUACAAAAAAUACCAAAUUCUCUUGGAUUGCACCAGUUGUAUUCCAAAGACUUUUUCUUUCUUUUUUUUUUUUUUUUUAAUUCCUUCUUUCAUCUCAGACAAUAUUCAGGUGCUGCUUAAUAGCCACUAUUCAGUGUCAUUGAAAUGUUCACUGGUGAGGUUUUUGUUUCAUUCAACUAUUACUACUUCCAUUUUUAUUUGACUUCAUGAAUUUAAGCCUUGCAAUUUAUCUUAAAAGCAUGUAAUAAGAAUCACAGAACCAUGAAAUAUCCUGAGAUGGAAGGAACCCAAAAUGAUCAUCGAGUUUAACUCCUGACCCUGCACAGGGCAAUCCUAAGGAUGACAUGCUGUGAGAGCUCUAUCCAAAUGAUUCUUGAACUCAGUUGGGCUUGGUGCUGUGACCAAUUCCUGGUGAGCCUGUUCCAGUAUCCAGCCACUCUCUGGGUGAAGAACUUUUCUUAAUGCUUAACCUAAGUCUCCCCUGCCACAGUUUCCCUUGGGUCCUGUCACUGGCCACCACAGAGAAGAGAUCAGUGCCUGCCCCUGCCCUGACCCUCAUGAGGAAUCUGUAAACCACAAUGAAGUCGCCUCCAGGCUGAAAAGACCAAGUGACCUCAGCUGCUCCUGGUAUGGCUUCUCCUCUAGACCUGUGUCUAAGAAUGAGCUUUUUUGCAACAUCUUCUGUGGGCAGAUUUCUAGGGAAAGUCAACUAACUUGAUACCCUAUAUCCAUAGGAUUUAAGAAAAAUAAGAUUCUUUACCCAGCCAGAGCAAGAGCAUUUGUAAAUAGAAACAGGGAAUCAUGUCAUACUUUAAUGGCUGCUUAGUAAAUUAAUCUGCAGCUACCUCUGAAACAUAUUUUAAUUUUAAGGCUGGGGAAUAUGAUGAAUGCCAUAAAAAGGAUGCCCUGAACACAGCUCCAACAUAUUCAUGUGUGUUUGAACCUCAAUGGUGUGUGUCUGUUCUUUAUGUUUAAAACUACUAUUCUAAAAGAAAGAGAAAAAAAGGUACAUUUUGAAAGACCAAAAAAAAUCCACUUUAUCUGUAACACUUUUUAAUGCCCACAUGGUAGUGAAAAGUAGGGAGAUAAUAUGUGGAUUAUUUAAAAUUAUUGCAUAUCUUCUUGCUUAGAACAUAAGUAAUUACAUUAGUACAUUUGACUACAAAAACAAGAAAUAAAUUCACAUUACUUUGUUGAAUCUGUGUUAGUGGACAUCCUUGGUGUGUAAUUCAGAUUAAUAUUUAUAGCUCUGCAUGAAUUUCUUGUACUUGGCUCUGUAAAUUUAGCUUGGAGGACACCAACAACUGUGCUUAGUUUGUGAUGCAAAGUCCAAAUGAAAAAAGUCCAUGCUGAUUGAAGUCCAAAAUUAUUUCAAAAUAUAAAUAAUUUGUGCCUCUGUCUUUCCAAAGUGGCUGAACUUAAAAAAGCAUUCCAAGUUGUUUUUUUUUUUUAAAAAAAAAGCCUCUCAGCUUCAAGAUAUGGUGUUUCUACAUUAUAAUGUGAAAGAUGAACUUGCACAUGUAUGUACAUAAUUUUUUUCAAAGCAAAAAAGCCUCUUUUAACUUUCAUAUUAAAAUCUAAGUCAUGGUUGAAUCUCCUAGAAAGAUUCCUCAUCUGUCCAUUGGAAUUCUGGCCUUGCAUUCAUGGUUUUCCACAUCUUUUUAAAUGCAAUUCUAAAUAUUUUCCUUUCUUCCAAGAAUAAUAUUUUGAAUUAGCAAGAGACAUUUACUUUUUACAUACUUUUCUGUAUUCAGACGUUCUAAGAUCCUUCCAAACAAAUCAAAUUGACAGCGUAUUGGGGGCUGCUUGCUGAAGCAAAAGGCAGAAGUACUGGUCACAAAGACAACCACUUUAGUACUUGAAAUACCCAUAGGAAAGUUGCAUCAAAAAAAACAUUAUCUCAUGUGAGGGAAGAUGGGCUUUUGAGGCAACUAGAAAAUUAUCCUAGGAGGUAACUAGAAUUGAUGAAGAAAAACAUGUCCUUUGAAAUAAGAAAUAGCUAUUAGGGUCUAAGGAAACAUUAAACUAAUAAAUGGUCAGAUUGAUGCAGGAAUUGCAAUGCUCACGUAUUAUUAGAUACUAACAUAAAAGAUAUGGCCCAGAUUAAACAAAGUCAGGGUUUGUGCCUAAUUUAAGUAGACCCAAAAAAAUAUUUAAAACAUUAUUACACCGUCAAUAGGUGACAUAGUGUCUGUAAUCCCAGUUGAAUCCGUGGAAAUAUAAUUGUCUGUCCAGAAAAUGACAAAAGAAAAAUAUCACAAUACAUCAAAAUCUUACUUAGUUCAUCAGAGAGGUUUUUUUGCUUUGCUUUUAGUUUUUGUUUGGUUUUUUGCUUGCUUUUGUGAGUAGCAAUAUCUAGAGUAGAGGCAAAUUUUACAUUUUAGCAGUGUUUUUACAAUAGUUCCUGGCUUUAUUUUCCUAAACUGCACAUAGAUAGUUUCUGGCUUUACUACCAUUAUGUACUGGUUUUGUGACAUUAAUUUGAGAUGCUGUAGAUAAGAGAAGCAAUUCCAUUCAUGAAAUCAAAUUCUGCUUGUAAGUAUGCCUUUCAAGAAAAAGGAAGAUCUGUAUUUCUUCUAAGUGUUUUCAGGUCGUGCAUCUGUGUUAACUCAAAUAAUGGAAGCCAGGAUUGAUGAUUGGCUGAUUCAGUGAAGCUCUUGCCAAGAAUUUUCAGAGAUUAGGAGGUUGUUGGAAAGAUAUCAAUGAAGGUUUAGGGAUCACUGUAUGAACUAUUCUAAAUUAACAGCUAAUGGAUGUUUUUAAUAGCUCUUUUAUAGAUGAGUGCAGCUGAAUGAAAACUGACAAGAAAGCUCAGCUUUGCUUGGUAUGAGCUUUAACUUUUUUUCACACAUGAUGACCUGCCUCUGCACUUGCUUUCUCACUUUAUUUCUGCAUAGGGUAAAAAUUCAUUUAUUUUAUAGUUAAUAAACAUAUCCAUGCAGACUUUGAUCUUUUUGGGGUUAUUUUGGUUUUUUUGUUUGUUUUUUUUUUUUUAAGUAGUAGAGAAUAUUGUUUCCUAAAAUGCUGCAUAUACUCAGUGCUGGACUACUUUUCCAAAGAUUUGUUCAUCCAUCUUGCUGUUUCUGGCAAAGUUCAGUUCUUGCAGAAAUAGUGAGCAGAUAUGAAAAAAAUGAAUACUCUUUGAUUAUAGCUGGUGUAAUCAAGUUGUCUGACCUUCCUGGUGCACAAAGAGACAUGACUUGGGUAUUCAAUAUUCAAUUUCAGUGGCCCAAAGAGAUGAAUAAAUAUAAGGGAGACAGAGUUCAUAUGAAAGUAUACCAUUGGGACAGAAAAUAAAUGUCUUGAGGUUGUUUUUUGCACUAGAGCUCAUGUGAUUCUGAUCAUCUCCACUGACGCCAAUGGGCUGUCAAAAGACAGUAUUUUUGUCAUAGAACAGGGACAGAUGUGACAUCAUUGCUUCUGCCUAGUUCACAGCUGUUUAAAAUUAUCUAAAUGUUUUAACUCUCAAAAUUUUGCCAAGAGGGAUUCGGUGACUACCUCUUUCAGUAUAGAACUCUAUUUGUGCUUUUAUGUGUGCUCUCUGUCAUUUCUGCACUAUAAGCAUAUCAGAUGAAUAAGAAAUAUAGUUUAAAAUUUUGCAUUUACCUUAAGGUAGACAAAAUAUUCAGGAAAGAAACAUCUUUUCUUCAUACUGAGGCUUUUCUGUUAAUAUAGAAACAAAUUUUUAAAAUAUCCAAAUGAAAAACAACACAUAUUCUUAAAAUUGACCUGACAUCAAAGACAUGCCAGUUGCACAUAAUUUUAGAACUAUUUGUCAAAUUUCUAUUUUUACUCACAGACAGGCUGUGCAAGGAAAACAUGAUGUUAGUGUAUGCUUAUGUGUGGAUAGCUAAGUCAAACUACAUAUUUCCAGUGACUGAAAUUGUGGCUUAGACAUCUAGAACCAAUGUGAAAAAUACAUUUAGACAAUAUAUUUUGGUGUCUGAAACGAGUGGAAUCCUGCUAUAAAAAUCUUUAGAUUAUGUAUCAAUAAAAUAACAGUUAUUUCAUUGUAUUUUAUCUUGUACUAUUGUAGUACAUUCUGUAAUGAUGAAUUCUGAGAGCUAUCUCCUAUUGAUUGAUAUCAUCCCACAAGGACAUAAAUUCACUGCUUUCAUUUUUAAUAAGUGCUAUGAGAAGCAAGACAUUUCAAACUUUUUACAGGCCUUUAAGAUUAAACGUCUUUAUGUGAAUCUGAGUAACAUCUCAAGCAGGGAUAUAGGUAAAGUAUAUAAGGAAGCAUUACAAAAUAUUUCAGUCUUUAUUAUUAAGACUAAUUGCCCUAUUAUGAUCCUUUAUUUGUAAGAAACCAUUAACUUCUUAAUGCAUUGUGGGCAAUAAGAUUCUCAUCAACAUAUUCUGUAGUAUAUUUAAAUUUUCUUUGAUUCAAUCAAUGGCUUUCAAUGAUUCAAUCAAUAAAAAAUAAGGAGAAACGGGAUUGUCUGAUUUUCAAAAGGAAGCAUAUAUUGUGGAUUUUCCCUGAUACUAUCACAACAAAAAAUAAUUGAAAAAACACAAUCGUAUUGAAGGAAUAUUUUAAUUUUUUUUUAAUUUUCAAAAAAGCCUCAGUAAUUUCAUGCAAUAUCAGUAAGGAUGUGCAAGUGAUUCCUACCCCAAGAAACCUUCACAUAGACAAAGAGAAAGAAACAGCAUUAGUACUGUUUGAAUCUUCAGAUCUAAUUCAUCUUUCAUUUUGCUUUUUUGCUUUUAAUAUUUAUACCCAUUAUGGUCAAGUUUUUAUAUCAUGAUGGUGCUUUUUAAGGCAAAAAGGCUGACUUCAAUGAUAGAGAUCUAUCUCCAAAGUGCCAGUCUGUCUUUUUAAAAAAAUGUAUAUGGAGUAUGAUUGAAAAGAAAGUACUAGCUAAGUGGAGGUACAGCUUCCUUCCAUCUAGUGAAAGCUAACUCCUCACAACUGUAUUUUUAAGCUAACACCAAAUAUUUUAAAGGAAAAAAUCUCAGCGAGAAAAGCAGCAUCAACAUUUUUAACAGAUUCAAGGUCCCUAUCAAAACAAGCAUUCAGAAAAUUUGUUCUUUCAAAUUGGAGAAGAGUGCAGCAAAGCAUGAUUUUAACACAUAACUAGGGAAGAUAUGCAUGAAUUCCCAUCUUAAGCUCUGUAACUGAGUGGCAUCUUUGGAAGAAUGUAUGUAAUGUCUUAGCAGCUACACUUACGACCUCUGAAACUAGGCUUACCAGCUUCCCCAGGUCUUGCACCUUUUCUCAUAAUAUUUUCCUAUCACUUUUUUACUAGUUUGAUUGCUCUUCAUUAAUGCUUAAAAAAAUCUUAUAUUAGUAAUGCAGAUUUUGCUGGUACUUUACGUGGGUGAACUGUUCAAACAAGACAUGAAGUAAACACCUUUGGGUAACUGAUGAAUGACCUGAAGCUUCUAGGAGCUAGUGGUAGUUGACAAGAGAACUUCAAAAAUUUAAACAAAGGGCAAAAUAAUAAGGCCUUGAAUUUGAUGCAUAAGGCAAUGGGAAAAACAGCUGGUGCUGGCACCAAUGGAGAUGGGGAGCACUCAAAGUCCUUUAGGCAAGCUAGAUAACCAGCACUGUGCAAAGGACCACUGCCCACUUGGUGACAACUUUUUAGGCCUUUAAUUGAAGCAUCUGAAGCUCCUAAUUUCUCAUAUAACCUUCCUUGAACCAGGGCUGCUGUAGAUGAUAUUGCCUACAUUUGGAACAGAUAUUCUGGAUGCCACCAGGCUAUGCCAACCUAGGUCACUCCCAUAAGGAUCUAUGAAGUCAGGAAUGAAUCUCCUGCUGAAAAAUCCUGUGCAGCACAGGUAUCAGAAAGCUUUAGGGGGCUGUGUGACAAUGCAUUCCCCUCAGGAAGAAAAACAUCUUGACUGAAGGAGUCCAGAGACCAUGAAACACCUGCAAAAGUGCCUCCAGAUGAAGCACACUGGCUGGAGCGGUCCAUCAAAAGCAAUCUAACAGAGCAUUGUGGGCAUUGUCAUCACUAUCACUGGGACUUGUAAGAAGGGUUUGAGGACAUUUGUAUUAUCCAAUUUGUACCAUCAUAUUAAAAUACUGCGGUGCAUAGUACUGGAAAAUGGUAUCUGGGAGUCAUUAAUAAAUACCUGGGCCAGAACAAGGCAAGGUUAUCACCUUUUUGUCAAAGUAAUAGAGAUACUUCCAUUAAUAGAUGACCCCAAUCACCGUUGGACAAUAAAUAUAAAAGCAUACAGAUGAAAAGGUUUUUCAGACUACAGAAUAAUAGGGAGAUAUUACAAGUUGGUUUCACAGAUCCAGACAAAGUUAAUUAUUAGUAACGAUUCUUUUUUGUCAUAAGAAUUGCAAUAAUAUUGAAUAGAAAAGGAUAUAUCUACAAGAGCAUUUUAAUUUCUUAAACUCUCCUUCCAGAUAUGGGAGAAAUAUAUGGAAGUGAGUCUGUAUUUCCUGACCUUGGCAGAUCAAAACGCAAAAGGUUUUGCCCUCAAAUGUCACCAGUGGUUUGGAGUGAAGAACCUUUUAUUAACAUUUUCAGAGUUUCUGGGUAUAUUCCCUUUAAGAAUUUCCUUUCUAAAAUCUGCAUGCUAAAUUAUUCUGCAGCCCCUUCAGAUCACCUAUGUUCCAUUGAAGCAGGACACAUUUUUGCUUAAGUUAUGCAGAGGAACAAAUCCUCAGUUUUUAGCCUUCAGCUGGUUUCUAAAAAGUUAGGGUGGAAGAAAGAAAUUUUCUGUAAUGUUCAACUUAAAAAAUAAAAGCAAACAAAAAACAAAACCCUUUUCAUAUUAAACAUAACAAUCUAGGCAGAAAAGUAUAUAAAAAUAAGUACUACACCACUGCAGACAAAACAUCUAUAUUUUAAAACAUAUUGGACUAUGUGGUGAAUUGAAGAAAGUUUGAAAAUUCUUGGCCUAUAUUUUAAAGAAACAGAUGCAAUCUUAAUUUAAAUAUUAUCAAGUAACUAGUCUUCUUGGUGUGAGAAAUAUUUGGUUCUUAUCUAUUAAAAAAAUUUAACCUUUCAAAAAUUCUUAAAAAGAGCCAUGAUAUCUAUUAAGGAAGAACAUGAUCAUACAAUUAGUGGGGUUUAUGCUUUAUCUACCUAUUGUAUUUUGACAAAGAAAGCAAAGAAAUGUUCCUUAAAAUGAUUAUGUAGUAGCCUGAUUAAUUUCUUUAAUCUUAAAGUAAAAGUCUGAAAUGGGUUAAGUGCAUUUUAUACAAAUACCUCUCUCUUAUUCCAAUAUGAACCAGACAAGCACAUACCAUUUUGGCAGAUGGUUAAACUUCAUCAGUGUCAGGAGAAGGUGGAAAUACCUUGGUUAUAAGAAUAAAAGAGUUUAACCUGGUUUAAAUUUGCCAGACAAACUUAUAUGUUUGUCUGUAUCUCAUAAUCUUCUAGAUUUUUUUAGCAGAAAUUGCUUAUUUCAGAUAUCAAAUAAUUGGUUUGAUUGACUUUUUCCUGCUAGACUAGAUCAACGUAAGUAAAUACGUAUGAGUAUUUAGUUAUGGUCUAUAUAUAUAAUAUGGAAAUAGUCAAUUAAAGAAAAAAAGCUACAUACAACUGCUAGAAAACAAGUAAAACAGCUAAAUUGCAAAAUUAAAUACAUUAAAAGCAUUAAAUGCAGCCCUGUUUUAAACAGAGUCUGUUUGUAGGUGAUGCUUUCCAUGCUGAUAGCUUCCAGUGGCCUUUUAAGCUUUCAGGUGCACACAUUCGUAUUUAGGUAUCUGUUUAAUAAUAGUCUGUCUUUAAGGAUUGUAAUUUGUAUAAGAACUAAUGUAAUUUUUAUUCACGUUAAGUGAUUGCUGUUGUAUGCAUAAAAUGUGGAUAAAAAGUCACACAUUUGGCUGUUGAUCUGUA
ensembl:lncRNA uncharacterized LOC115496168